rnacentral:rRNA from 1 species
GUUUGCAGCCAUGCCACCCUGAACAAGCCCCAUGUCUGAUCUCAGAAACUAAGCAGGGUCGGGCCUGGUUAGUACUUGGAUGGGAGACCACCUAGGAAGACCAGGUGCUGUAAGCA